rnacentral:rRNA from 1 species
UUAGAGUUUGAUCAUGGCUCAGAACGGAACGCUGGCGGCGUGCCUAAUACAUGCAAGUCGAACGCUUCUUUCCUCCCGAGUGCUUGCACUCAAUUGGAAAGAGGAGUGGCGGACGGGUGAGUAACACGUGGGUAACCUACCCAUCAGAGGGGGAUAACACUUGGAAACAGGUGCUAAUACCGCAUAACAGUUUAUGCCGCAUGGCAUAAGAGUGAAAGGCGCUUUCGGGUGUCGCUGAUGGAUGGACCCGCGGUGCAUUAGCUAGUUGGUGAGGUAACGGCUCACCAAGGCCACGAUGCAUAGCCGACCUGAGAGGGUGAUCGGCCACACUGGGACUGAGACACGGCCCAGACUCCUACGGGAGGCAGCAGUAGGGAAUCUUCGGCAAUGGACGAAAGUCUGACCGAGCAACGCCGCGUGAGUGAAGAAGGUUUUCGGAUCGUAAAACUCUGUUGUUAGAGAAGAAAAGGACGUUAGUAACUGAACGUCCCCUGACGGUAUCUAACCAGAAAGCCACGGCUUAACUACGUGCCAGCAGCCGCGGUAAUACGUAGGUGGCAAGCGUUGUCCGGAUUUAUUGGGCGUAAAGCGAGCGCAGGCGGUUUCUUAAGUCUGAUGUGAAAGCCCCCGGCUCAACCGGGGAGGGUCAUUGGAAACUGGGAGACUUGAGUGCAGAAGAGGAGAGUGGAAUUCCAUGUGUAGCGGUGAAAUGCGUAGAUAUAUGGAGGAACACCAGUGGCGAAGGCGGCUCUCUGGUCUGUAACUGACGCUGAGGCUCGAAAGCGUGGGGAGCAAACAGGAUUAGAUACCCUGGUAGUCCACGCCGUAAACGAUGAGUGCUAAGUGUUGGAGGGUUUCCGCCCUUCAGUGCUGCAGCAAACGCAUUAAGCACUCCGCCUGGGGAGUACGACCGCAAGGUUGAAACUCAAAGGAAUUGACGGGGGCCCGCACAAGCGGUGGACAUGUGGUUUAAUUCGAAGCAACGCGAAGAACCUUACCAGGUCUUGACAUCCUUUGACCACUCUAGAGAUAGAGCUUUCCCUUCGGGGACAAAGUGACAGGUGGUGCAUGGUUGUCGUCAGCUCGUGUCGUGAGAUGUUGGGUUAAGUCCCGCAACGAGCGCAACCCUUAUUGUUAGUUGCCAUCAUUUAGUUGGGCACUCUAGCGAGACUGCCGGUGACAAACCGGAGGAAGGUGGGGAUGACGUCAAAUCAUCAUGCCCCUUAUGACCUGGGCUACACACGUGCUACAAUGGGAAGUACAACGAGUCGCUAGACCGCGAGGUCAUGCAAAUCUCUUAAAGCUUCUCUCAGUUCGGAUUGCAGGCUGCAACUCGCCUGCAUGAAGCCGGAAUCGCUAGUAAUCGCGGAUCAGCACGCCGCGGUGAAUACGUUCCCGGGCCUUGUACACACCGCCCGUCACACCACGAGAGUUUGUAACACCCGAAGUCGGUGAGGUAACCUUUUUGGAGCCAGCCGCCUAAGGUGGGAUAGAUGAUUGGGGUGAAGUCGUAACAAGG